rfam:Triticum urartu cultivar G1812 contig566896, whole genome shotgun sequence.
UCAAUACUCCCUCCGUCCAAAAAAGCUUGUCCCAAGCUUGUUUCUCAAAUGGAUGUAUCUAGCACCAUGUAUCUAGCACUAACUUGGUGCUAGAUACAUCCAUUCGAGGGACAAGCUUUUCCGGACAGAGGGAGUACCAA